GACGAACGCUGGCGGCAUGCUUAACACAUGCAAGUCGAACGGAGUGGCGAACGGGUGAGUAACACGUGGGUGAUCUGCCUUGCACUUCGGGAUAAGCUUGGGAAACUGGGUCUAAUACCGGAUAUUGAAAGAUGAGCUCGCGGCCGAUCAGCUUGUUGGUGGGGUAAUGGCCGACCAAGGCGUCGACGGGUAGCCGGCCUGCGAGGGUGUACGGGCACAGUAGGACUGAGAUACGGCCCAGACUCCUACAGGAGGCAGCAGUGGGGAUUAUUGUACAAUGGGCGGACGUCUGAUGCAGCGACGUCGAGUGGGGGAUGAAGGCCUUCGGGUUGUAAACUCCUUUAGACAGGGACGCGGUACCUGUAUAAGAAGCACCGGCUAACUCCGUGCCAGCCGCCGCGGUAAUAC
rnacentral:rRNA from 1 species